rnacentral:ncRNA from 2 species
UUCUGAUCUUGUGGUGAUUUGGCCGGCCGGCUUGCAGCCACGUUAAACAACUCGCUAAAGGGCCGAGGGGGAUUCCCC